rnacentral:rRNA from 1 species
UACGGAGGGGGCUAGCGUUGUUCGGAAUUACUGGGCGUAAAGCGCGCGUAGGCGGCUUUGUAAGUUAGAGGUGAAAGCCCAGGGCUCAACCCUGGAAUUGCCUUUAAGACUGCAUCGCUUGAACAUCGGAGAGGUAAGUGGAAUUCCGAGUGUAGAGGUGAAAUUCGUAGAUAUUCGGAAGAACACCAGUGGCGAAGGCGACUUACUGGACGAUUGUUGACGCUGAGGCACGAAAGCGUGGGGAGCAAACAGG